rnacentral:misc_RNA from 1 species
GAUGAAGAACGCAGCGAAAUGCGAUAAGUAAUGUGAAUUGCAGAAUUCAGUGAAUCAUCGAAUCUUUGAACGCACAUUGCGCCCGCUAGUAUUCUGGCGGGCAUGCCUGUCCGAGCGUCAUUUCAACCCUCAAGCCCCCGGGCUUGGUGUUGGGGAUCGGCGAGCCUCCGCGCCCGCCGUCCCCUAAAUCUAGUGGCGGUCUCGCUGUAGCUUCCUCUGCGUAGUAGCACACCUCGCACUGGGAAACAGCGCGGCCACGCCGUUAAACCCCCAACUUCUGAACGUUUGACCUCGGAUCAGGUAGGAAUACCCGCUGAAUUUAAGCAUAUCAAUAAGCGGAGGA